UACGAAGGGGGCGAGCGUUGUUCGGAUUUACUGGGCGUAAAGGGCGCGUAGGCGGCUAUUCAAGUCAGGCGUGAAAGCCCCGGGCUCAACCUGGGAGGUGCGCUUGGGACUGGGUGGCUGGAGUUCGGGAGAGGAGAGUGGAAUUCCCAGUGUAGAGGUGAAAUGCGUAGAGAUCGGCAGGAACACCCAGGGGGAAACCAGCCGACUGGGCAAGUGCUGACGCUGAGGUGCGAGAGCGUGGGGAGCAAACAGG
rnacentral:rRNA from 1 species